AGGAUGGGCAGUGCACACUGGGUCAAACAAUUGGUCUACGUAACAGCAUAGGUUACAAUUCUACUGAACAAUGGGAGAGGAAAAAACCAACUGGGUGUAUCCCAAAACAUUGUUUCGAACCUGGAUAUACUACACUAGGAAUGGAUCAAGAUUUUAAAUUAAUAAUUUUUGCAGAAAAUUGGACAUUUUAAAUUUUUAACCAAGCUGCAUUGGAAUCAAAUAUUUAAACAAAAAAUACACAGUGUGAUUAAAAAACAGGGA